AGUACGUGAAACCGUUUAGGGGUAAACCUGAGAAACCCGAAAGAUCGAAUGGGGAGACUCAUCGUCAGCGUGGUUGGCUUCCUUGCGGAUUGCGAUGUUUGAGGCGGUGCUUCGCGGCAUUCGUCGAUUUCACGCGUUCGCUGAGGCAUGUCCGGCCGCGUCGGCGUGCACUUCUCCUCUAGUAGAACGUCGCGACCCGCUGGGUGUCGGUUUAAGGGCCGAGGCCGUCGACUGUUCCGUCGCUUCACCGCGUCACGGUUACAGACGCUCGGACUCCCGACCGGCUGCUCGGCGGUACGCACACGGUAUCGAGCCGCACUCGAAUGCGUUCAGACUCGUCGCAAGCCCGACCACAUUUACCUGGAGGCGCGGACCUGGUGCCGUCCCCGGGGGUGGUUAGCUGUUGGCCGACGAUGUUCUCGGACUGGCUCUGUCGAAUGAAAUACCGGUCAGCGACGCUAUUGCUUUGGGUACUUUCAGGACCCGUCUUGAAACACGGACCAAGGAGUCUAACAUGUGCGCGAGUCAUUGGGAUAUUGAAACCUAAAGGCGCAUUGAAAGAGAAGAUCGGCCACGCGUCGAUCGAGGGAGGAUGGGUGGCGGUAAAACGUCGCCCCGCACUCCCGGGGCGUCUCGAAUGUCAUUGCGACAUGAGGCGCACCCAGAGCGUACACGUUGGGACCCGAAAGAUGGUGAACUAUGCCUGGUCAGGACGAAGUCAGGGGAAACCCUGAUGGAGGUCCGUAGCGAUUCUGACGUGCAAAUCGAUCGUCGGAACUGGGUAUAGGGGCGAAAGACUAAUCGAACCAUCUAGUAGCUGGU
rnacentral:rRNA from 1 species